rnacentral:rRNA from 1 species
GGCAGCAGCUAAGAAUAUUCCGCAAUGGACGAAAGUCUGACGGAGCGACGCCGCGUGGAUGAUGAAGGCCGGAAGGUUGUAAAAUCCUUUUAUGACUGAGGAAUAAGUGAAGUGAGAGAAACGCUUCAUGGUGACUGUAGGUCAUGAAUAAGCAACGGCUAAUUACGUGCCAGCAGCCGCGGUAACACGUAAGUUGCGAGCGUUGUUCGGAAUUAUUGGGCGUAAAGGGUAUGUAGGCGGUUCUGCAAGUCUGGUGUGAAAUGCCGGGGCUCAACCCCGGAACUGCGUUGGAAACUGCAGGACUUGAAUCGCUGAGGGGCAGCCAGAAUUCCAGGUGUAGGGGUGAAAUCUGUAGAUAUCUGGAAGAAUACCAAUGGCGAAGGCAGGCUGCCAGCAGAUGAUUGACGCUGAGGUACGAAGGUGCGGGGAGCAAACAGGAUUAGAUACCCUGGUAGUCCGCACAGUCAACUAUGUACACUGGGUGUCCGCGCAUGAGCGUGGGUGCCGAAGCAAACGCGAUAGUGUACCGCCUGGGGAGUAUGCCCGCAAGGGUGAAACUCAAAGGAAUUGACGG